AAUCAAGCCUGGGCAAUGGCGGGCGCCCCUCCCCCAGCCUCGCUGCCGCCUUGCAGUUUGAUCUCAGACUGCUGUGCUAGCAAUCAGCGAGACUCCCUGGGCAUAGGACCCUACGAGCCAGGUGCGGGAUAUAAUCUCGUGUUGCACCGUUUUUUAAGCCUGUCGGAAAAGCGCAGUAUUCUGGUGGGAGUGACCCGAUUUUCCAGGUGCCGUCCAUCACUCCUUUCUUUGACUCAGAAAGGGAACUCCCUGACCCCUUGCGCUUCCCAAGUGAGGCAAUGCCUCGCCCUGCUUCGGCUCGCGCACGGUGCACGCACCCACUGACCUGCGCCCACUGUCUGGCACUCCCUAGUGAGAUGAACCCGGUACCUCAGAUGGAAAUGCAGAAAUCACCCGUCUUCUGCGUCGCUCACGCUGGGAGCUGUAGACCGGAGCUGUUCCUAUUCGGCCAUCUUGGCUCCUCCCUCUGAAGAAAGCAAUGUAGAAGACAGAUUGGAAGACUAGAAGACAGUCCGGAGGCCCCAGAGGAAGCUAAUGGUCUGAAAUAACAGCUUAAGAACAAAGAACUGUGAAUAGUUGCUCACCUCUGAAAAAUUCUCGAAGGAAUAGGUGAUCAUUGGGUUGAAGACGAACAGAAGAUGAUAAACUUGGAAGAUAAUAAACUUAAAAGUUAUGCCUUUCUUAUAUGGUAAAAGGACUUUCUCCUGAAAUGCAAUAAACUUGAGAUGACUAGGGGAAUGAACACGCAAUGGAAGCUGGAGAUAGACAUCUGGGAGGCCUCUGUAGGGCUCUCAUUCUUCUUUCUGACACCAUGUGAAGAAGGACAUGUUGGCUUCCCCUUCUGCCAUGAUUAGUCCAACAGAAAAUUUUAAGUACCUGUUUAAAGCAAUUUACAAGAUACUGUGGAGAUUCCCAGCAAUAAAGAAUGUACUAUAGUUAAGCUGGAAUCCAACUCCUGAAUUUCUGGAGCCCUGAAGACCACUUAGUCUUACUCACAAGAAUUGAAUGGAAUGUGAAUCUACACUCAGGUGAAGCCAGGGUAUUUUGAACGUCCCUACAAGACUGAAGCACCACUGGGAAAUAAGUAAUAGAGAUGCCAUCAUUGUGGAGGUCAUAAUGCUUGUCCUGAACACGAGGGGUCUCUAGUGAGGCACCAAUUCAGCUCCUCUUCUGUGGAGAGACUACAUGGGUGCUGAAGAAACAAAGACACAACGCAGCUCCUCUCAAAGGAGUUCAGAGCUUAGCAGGGGAGACAGAACCAUGAAUGCAUAGUUACGCAUCAAUGUGCUGCACGAGCACUGAAGCCCAAGCACAAGCGGCCUGAGUCCCAGGUCUCACUUUGUCACCCAGGCUGAAGUGGAGUGGCAUGAUCAUAGCUCAUUGUAACCUCAAACUCCUGG
rnacentral:lncRNA from 1 species